rnacentral:miRNA from 1 species
CAGGGUGACCAACCAUCCCAGUUUGUAUAGGAUGCAGGACGUUUUAGUGAUAUGAGCAAGUCCCAGGCAAACCAGGACAGUUGGUCGCCCUUCUGGACA